rnacentral:rRNA from 1 species
UACGAAGGUCCCAAGCGUUAUCCGGAUUUAUUGGGUUUAAAGGGUGCGUAGGCGGGCUAUUAAGUCAGGGGUGAAAUCCUGGAGCUCAACUCCAGAACUGCCUUUGAUACUGGCGAUCUUGAGUCCGGGAGAGGUGAGUGGAACUGCGAGUGUAGAGGUGAAAUUCGUAGAUAUUCGCAAGAACACCAGUGGCGAAGGCGGCUCACUGGCCCGGUACUGACGCUGAGGUGCGAAAGCGUGGGGAGCAAACAGG